rnacentral:rRNA from 1 species
UGAGGAAUUUUCUGCAAUGGGCGCAAGCCUGACAGAGCAAUACCGCGUGAGGGAUGAAGGCCUAUGGGUUGUAAACCUCUUUUCUCAAGGAGGAAGAUCUGACGUUACUUGAGGAAUAAGCAUCGGCUAACCCUGUGCCAGCAGCCGCGGUAAUACAGGGGAUGCAAGUGUUAUCCGGAAUUAUUGGGCGUAAAGCGUCUGCAGGUGGAUAUUUAAGUCUUUUGUUAAAUCUCUGGGCUUAACCCGGAAACAGCAAAAGAAACUAUUUAUCUUGAAUAUGGUAGAGGUAAAGGGAAUUUCAAGUGGAGCGGUGAGAUGCGUAGAUAUUUGAAAGAACACCAACAGCGAAGGCACUUUACUGGGCCAGUACUGACACUCAGAGACGAAAGCUAGGGGAGCAAACAGG